rnacentral:rRNA from 1 species
UACGUAGGGGGCAAGCGUUGUCCGGAUUUAUUGGGCGGAAAGAGCGUGUAGGCGGCUAGGUAGGUCCGUUGUGAAAACUCGAGGCUCAACCUCGAGACGUCGAUGGAAACCAUCUAGCUAGAGUCCGGAAGAGGAGAGUGGAAUUCCUGGUGUAGCGGUGAAAUGCGCAGAUAUCAGGAAGAACACCCGUGGCGAAGGCGGCUCUCUGGUACGUGACUGACGCUGAGACGCGAAAGCGUGGUGAGCGAACCGG